rnacentral:rRNA from 1 species
UACGUAGGGUGCGAGCGUUAAUCGGAAUUACUGGGCGUAAAGCGUGCGCAGGCGGUUUUGUAAGCCAGAUGUGAAAUCCCCCGGGCUUAACCUGGGAAUGGCAUUUGGGACUGCAAGGCUGGAGUGCGGCAGAGGAGACUGGAAUUCCUGGUGUAGCAGUGAAAUGCGUAGAUAUCAGGAGGAAUACCGAUGGCGAAGGCAGGUCUCUGGGCUGACACUGACGCUCAUGCACGAAAGCGUGGGGAGCAACAGG